rnacentral:lncRNA from 1 species
CACCCACCGUAACACCUCCGCUCAAACCUCCCACCACUCCGGUUACACCAACCAAACCUCCAGUUCCAACUCCUCCUAUCAAACCACCGCCGGUCCAACCACCUACGUACAAACCCCCAACUCCAUCCGUUAAACCACCCACGACACAACCAGUUAAACCACCGCCGGUACAACCCCCUACGUACAAACCCCCAACGUCACCGGUUAAACCACCCACCACAACUCCACCGGUCCAACCACCUACGUACAAACCCCCAACGUCGCCAGUUAAACCACCCACCACGACGCCACCGGUCCAACCACCUACGUACAAACCCCCAACGCCACCAGUUAAACCACCCACGACACCACCAGUCAAACCACCGACACCACCGGUCAAACCUCCGACACCACCUCCCGUAAGAACUCG